CCACAAUUAGGGAAAGCACAAUGCGUUUCAACCUUAACAUCUUCAAUGUUCGUUAAUCCUUCCAUCUCUGGGCUCUGUCCGGAAAUCAAAUUUGGUGGCGUUAUUCAUGUAUCUCUCGGUCACUUCUGGGUUACGUCAAUACUCCGGUAGUGUGACCUUUCACACUGCGUGCUUACGUAUGACAUCAUUACGUGUGCGCAGCGACGUAACAGCGCUAUUGCGUCACACUCCUGUAUCCAGUGUUCUAUCGGAAAUCUAUAUCUAUCAGACUUGUAUACAGACGUCACUUCCAGUGCACCCACGUCACCAGAAGUGACGCAAAAUAGGCUGCGUGCAUGUGGGGUUAAU